rnacentral:tRNA from 1 species
CAGGGAGACAACAAAAUGUUUUGAUAUAAAUUUUGUCACCUUAGGUCGAUCGGUAUCUCAGAUUUUCAUUUUUGGAAAUUUCAGUUUCUAAGUUUUUUCUAGGUCACCCAUUUUUCCUGGGCCAUUAGCUCAGGUGGUUAGAGCGCACCCCUGAUAAGGGUGAGGUCCCUGGUUCAAGUCCAGGAUGGCCCAUAUCUCUAUAUUGGGGGUAUAGCUCAGUUGGUAGAGCGCCUGCUUUGCAAGCAGGAUGUCAGCGGUUCGAGUCCGCUUACCUCCACUGAAUACCACCUAUCCAAAGAGAAGGAAUAUUUGGGAUAGAUUUUAAUCUGAAUGAAUCUAGCUUCCUAUUAUUUAAAUUAAUUAAUAAGAUGCUGGACUCAAUGAAUUUCUUAAUUCUUUGUUUUCAGAGAACCUUGACAACUGCAUAGAUUUUUUUCAAGACAAUAAGCAUCUUUUAAGAUGCAGUUUUAUUAUUGGUGCUUAUGCAUUAAUAACAAUUCUAUUGAGCUGAUGCUUCAAUUUUUUGAAGUUAUU